UCUGUAGGGGAAGAUAGCUCAACCAGCUUAGAGCUGUUGAUUCUGCAGUCAACUUCUGAUUCCUUCCGUGGGUCUUACACUCGAAUUUUCCAGCAGAGAGAUUAAUUGACCAGUGACUAUCAAGAGGAGGCUGACUCUUUUGAGCUGCCACCCCAUGCCAUUGGCAUGGCUGGCAUCCACUUCUGGCCUGACCAGCAGGGGCCACAAUGUGUGCUGGGUGACAGAAGACCCCUCAGGAGCCCCCAGCUCUACCCCAGCCUCCAC
rnacentral:lncRNA from 1 species